rnacentral:rRNA from 3 species
GAUUGGUGCUUGCAUCAUGAUUUACAUUUGAGUGAGUGGCGAACUGGUGAGUAACACGUGGGAAACCUGCCCAGAAGCGGGGGAUAACACCUGGAAACAGAUGCUAAUACCGCAUAACAACUUGGACCGCAUGGUCCGAGUUUGAAAGAUGGCUUCGGCUAUCACUUUUGGAUGGUCCCGCGGCGUAUUAGCUAGAUGGUGGGGUAACGGCUCACCAUGGCAAUGAUACGUAGCCGACCUGAGAGGGUAAUCGGCCACAUUGGGACUGAGACACGGCCCAAACUCCUACGGGAGGCAGCAGUAGGGAAUCUUCCACAAUGGACGAAAGUCUGAUGGAGCAACGCCGCGUGAGUGAAGAAGGGUUUCGGCUCGUAAAACUCUGUUGUUAAAGAAGAACAUAUCUGAGAGUAACUGUUCAGGUAUUGACGGUAUUUAACCAGAAAGCCACGGCUAACUACGUGCCAGCAGCCGCGGUAAUACGUAGGUGGCAAGCGUUGUCCGGAUUUAUUGGGCGUAAAGCGAGCGCAGGCGGUUUUUUAAGUCUGAUGUGAAAGCCUUCGGCUCAACCGAAGAAGUGCAUCGGAAACUGGGAAACUUGAGUGCAGAAGAGGACAGUGGAACUCCAUGUGUAGCGGUGAAAUGCGUAGAUAUAUGGAAGAACACCAGUGGCGAAGGCGGCUGUCUGGUCUGUAACUGACGCUGAGGCUCGAAAGUAUGGGUAGCAAACAGGAUUAGAUACCCUGGUAGUCCAUACCGUAAACGAUGAAUGCUAAGUGUUGGAGGGUUUCCGCCCUUCAGUGCUGCAGCUAACGCAUUAAGCAUUCCGCCUGGGGAGUACGGCCGCAAGGCUGAAACUCAAAGGAAUUGACGGGGGCCCGCACAAGCGGUGGAGCAUGUGGUUUAAUUCGAAGCUACGCGAAGAACCUUACCAGGUCUUGACAUACUAUGCAAAUCUAAGAGAUUAGACGUUCCCUUCGGGGACAUGGAUACAGGUGGUGCAUGGUUGUCGUCAGCUCGUGUCGUGAGAUGUUGGGUUAAGUCCCGCAACGAGCGCAACCCUUAUUAUCAGUUGCCAGCAUUAAGUUGGGCACUCUGGUGAGACUGCCGGUGACAAACCGGAGGAAGGUGGGGAUGACGUCAAAUCAUCAUGCCCCUUAUGACCUGGGCUACACACGUGCUACAAUGGAUGGUACAACGAGUUGCGAACUCGCGAGAGUAAGCUAAUCUCUUAAAGCCAUUCUCAGUUCGGAUUGUAGGCUGCAACUCGCCUACAUGAAGUCGGAAUCGCUAGUAAUCGCGGAUCAGCAUGCCGCGGUGAAUACGUUCCCGGGCCUUGUACACACCGCCCGUCACACCAUGAGAGUUUGUAACACCCAAAGUCGGUGGGGU